rnacentral:lncRNA from 1 species
AUAAUUAAAUCUAUGAAUGUGAUAUGUGUGGCAGUGUGAUUAUUAUAAUGUAUGUCAAGUAAUAAGAUGUUUGUGUUAUUUAAGAAUUUCUGUAUAUUUUUCCGUUGAAACUUUAUGUGUGUUGAGUGAGAAAGAAAUAAAUGGAGUUGCAAUUAACCAUAUAUGGUUUGCAACAUGUAAUAUUAGUAAUCCAGCUUGUGUUUCUCAGUCA